GAUGAAGAACGUAGCGAAAUGCGAUAAGUAAUGUGAAUUGCAGAAUUCAGUGAAUCAUCGAAUCUUUGAACGCACAUUGCGCUCGCCAGUAUUCUGGCGAGCAUGCCUGUUCGAGCGUCAUUUCAACCAUCAAGCUCUGCUUGCGUUGGGGAUCCGCGUCUGACGCGGUCCCUCAAAAACAGUUGGCGGCCUCGCUAGUCACACCGAGCGUAGUAACUCUACAUCGCUAUGGUCGUGCGGCGGGUUCUUGCCGUAAAACCCCCAAUUUUUUAAGGUUGACCUCGGAUCAGGUAGGAAUACCCGCUGAACUUAAGCAUAUCAAUAAGCGGAGGA
rnacentral:misc_RNA from 1 species